UUGUGCUGCUGUACUGCUGUAAUGGUUGGUAUUGGUUGUUGUACUGCUGUACUGCUGUAAUGGUUGGUAUUGGUUGUUGUGCUGCUGUACUGCUGUAAUGGUUGGUAUUGGUUGUUGUGCUGUUGUGCUGCUCCGCUGAGGUGGUCUGGCUGCUUUGAUCCGUCUUGUGAAUCGUCAUGGCAAGAAGAACGUUUCUCAUCACAAUGUUGUCGGUAGAGAUGACUUGCAGCAGGGCAAUACUGCCAGCGUUGGUGAUAGUCUAAAUCAGCGCAGCCACAGGAAAUCAAGUAAAAAAUCACAGCGAACAACAGUUAUGUCAGCCGCUGCCUUCUCACCGUUGCGUAUGCAAUUGACUAGCAGAUCUAACAACUUCAUCAGCCGAUCAUUACCUAUGCGAUUGCGAUCACUCAGAGUCAAACUAUGAUGAGGCAGUGUUGUGGACCUCGCCUUGGGCAUGCUGACUUGGUACAAGAAAGACAAGUGUCGGAUAUGGAGACACGCUGGAUGACAUCACAGAAGAAAAUACUUUGCCGCUCCAUCUACGGGGACGAGAACCUCUUCAAUCCUUUCCCAACAAAACCGGACUGCAAACAACACUGUGCAACCCAGUGCUCAGCAUGUUUUCAAGCAACAUUCAACUGAUAACUCUGAGCAGCAACGCAGAACUCAGUCACUGGCACAUGCGCAGUGAAAGCAGCUGAUAGUUUCUAUACUCAGUCUCAUUAGGAGAUGUAUGCUGGGUUACCCUCCAAGUGACGUCCACAUGAGCACACCGAAAACACAGCAAGGAUCAACUUGUGCCUGUUGUUAUUCGGCAUGAGCAGCUAAGCGCUAGCGUUGAUAAUUCAUAGGAAUGGCUGAACAAGUCCCAUGAUUAUCCAUUCCUGGCUACGACCAGUAGUGAGGCGCCUUGAACAGAUGAAGUGCGUCAGUGCAGCUAUCGAUGGCCACAAAUCAUUGCUUACAACAAGCGUUCACAGCAGCAAUGGUGUAAUUAUGGCUUCAAUUACCUUCAAUCUCUAUGCUGACAAAUCAUGUAUUAUAAAAUUCGGGACAUGGUAGAUGGCGUAUGCAUGACUGCAUCUGGUAUUCUGGAACAAUGUAUUACCCUCGUAAUAUGGAACACUGUAUUACCCUGGUCCACUUCACUCUUCUUCUCCUAAGUUUAGUACUACCCGUCUUGAAUUUUCCAAGGACCAUGUUGAAUGAGGUUGUCUGAUUUUAUGUUCCUGUUCAAUUCUACACUCUAAGUGGUGUUGUUUCCGGUAUCUAUGGGUUUACCUCACCUACCCAUCCACUUUGUUAACUUACCUCUUUCCUGCAUGUCUUCUUCUAUGAUUAAGUCGAUGAUCAUGUUGCUUCCUUUUCCAUUUUACAUUCUAUUAUCCUAUUGCUGGAAUAUUCUUUAAGGUUUCUCACUUCACUUAAUUUAAUAUUUCCUUUGCUCUGCGGUAGUUCACAAAAGCUUUAUGAAUUUCCCUUUCUUCUAAUGCAUACAUGCAUACAUGUAUUUCCUUUAUUCUACCCUGUCAAUUUUCUUGUUAUCAGUCGCAACUUUUACCCUUUUUCAUCAUAAUC